UGAAACGAACAAGCAAUAAAAGUACAGCAUUUUUACACACACCAUGCGAGGCAUCCUAACAAUUGGGCAAACAAAAGCCAUUGGCAUGGAUUUAGUUUACUAACACGUCGUCAAAGCACAAUGUCAGGCCAGCGUGCUUUCGCCUUUCAUGCAGACCAACUAGCUAGUUUAGCUUUUUUUAUUCAGGAGUCUAAGACAAUAUUGAAAGAUGAUUUUUUGUGUUGUUGGCCAACUUGAAACUGAGUACAGAUAUUAUGUCGUUGAAAUAGAAAUACUCAAAGUAAAUCUAUCCGAUCCCAUGAUAAGUGCAAAGACAUGACAAGAUACGUUAUCUUUCUUUGGUUUUUACGAACUACUGUAGAAUUUUCUGUUUGAUUAUACCUCG
rnacentral:lncRNA from 1 species